rnacentral:rRNA from 1 species
UACGUAGGGUGCAAGCGUUGUCCGGAAUUAUUGGGCGUAAAGAGCUCGUAGGCGGUCUGUCGCGUCGGCUGUGAAAACCCGGGGCUCAACCCCGGGCCUGCAGUCGAUACGGGCAGACUAGAGUGCGGUAGGGGAGACUGGAAUUCCUGGUGUAGCGGUGAAAUGCGCAGAUAUCAGGAGGAACACCGAUAGCGAAGGCAGCUCGCUGGGACGGUACUGACGCUGAGACGCGAAAGCGUGGGGAGCAAACAGG